AACAAGGUCUCCGUUGGUGAACCAGCGGAGGGAUCAUUACCGAGUUUACAACUCCCAAACCCCUGUGAACAUACCUAUACGUUGCCUCGGCGGAUCAGCCCGCGCCCUGUAAAAAGGGACGGCCCGCCCGAGGACCCUAAACUCUGUUUUUAGUGGAACUUCUGAGUAAAACAAACAAAUAAAUCAAAACUUUCAACAACGGAUCUCUUGGUUCUGGCAUCGAUGAAGAACGCAGCAAAAUGCGAUAAGUAAUGUGAAUUGCAGAAUUCAGUGAAUCAUCGAAUCUUUGAACGCACAUUGCGCCCGCCAGUAUUCUGGCGGGCAUGCCUGUUCGAGCGUCAUUUCAACCCUCAAGCUCAGCUUGGUGUUGGGACUCGCGGUAACCCGCGUUCCCCAAAUCGAUUGGCGGUCACGUCGAGCUUCCAUAGCGUAGUAAUCAUACACCUCGUUACUGGUAAUCGUCGCGGCCACGCCGUAAAACCCCAACUUCUGAAUGUUGACCUCGGAUCAGGUAGGAAUACCCGCUGAACUUAAGCAUAU
rnacentral:rRNA from 1 species